UUUUUCUCUGGUCUCAAAUAAAACCCAGACUUGUAGCACUGGAUUAUUAAUAAGGUACCAGUGGGAAUUUUAGUAAUCUAGAAUGGAGAAAAGGUAGGGACAGCAUUUUUUUCUUGGUUAGUCACUAAAAUUAAACUGAAACAAAUUUAUGAAUUCCCUUCUCUUUCCAGAGGCUUGUAUCAGGGUGGGGCAAAGAACCACAAUGAAGCCUACUCUCACAAAUUAUCUUGGUCUGGCCAGACAGACUGGGAACUUUCUGGUUUAUUGUCCCUAGAGCAGCCCUGAUAACUGGGGCAGAGGGUGAAGCAGGGAGGCUCUGAGUGUUCCCUGCUCUCUAAAGGACUGAUUUCCCAUCUGCCAUACCGUCAACAUGUUUUAGUAAGUGUUUGGCCUCACAGGGAAAGCUGCCAGCAUCGUUUCCUAUCUGGCUCUGCUGUAUCAAGUCCAGAGGAAACCUGUUUCAGUCACUGUUCUCCUGGAACCACCCACAUCAUUAGGCAGGAAGGGCAGGGGGAGCGUGGAAGUAAGAUGUGAAGACGUGUCAUUGAAAAGAGGUGGUGUUUGGGAAAACACUUUGGGGCGUGUCCUGGUUACGAAAACAAAGAAGGCUAGGCCCAAAACGCCUGGAACUGGGAGGGAGUUUGUUGUAAUCAAGAGCCCAGUCUCCGGAGGAGGGUGGGAGGAGGGUAUGUCCUCAGAGAAGGUUGAUAGGAAAUAAUGACAAUAUAAAGGACAUCAAACAAGGGGAAGAUAUUUUGGCUUUUUAUUUGAUACUCCAGGAAGAUCUGAUGUCAUAUCCCUAAAAGGACAAAUCAGACCAAAGUGAGGCUCCAAGACGACUGGGCUUUUUGGACAUAAUCUUAUCAACACAUGAUCUGGGGAAAAAUUACUCACACCCUGAAAACUUUAGUUUUCUCAUGUGUUAAAUAGGGACAAUCAAAUACCAAUUUCUGAAGACUGUUCUAAUAAUUAAAUGAGACAUUCCUUAUAAAACACUUAGCAGAACACCUGGCAAAUUAACACGGAGUAGCUGGUUACAGAUCAAACCUUCCCUUGAGAAUGUGACAUGCUGGACAAUAUAUAAAGCCAUCAAUCUGAAGGCAGUGGGGAAUUCUGAAGCCACAAGGUCCUCAAACUUACUGUGGAUCUAAGGUCACCACCACUUCAUCCAUAGAUCCACAGACUGCCUCAGCCUCUGCCCAGGUGAGGCCAAUCUCCAGCAUGGAAACCUUUGUGCUUGAUGUGGUCUGAGCUGCUGCAGCUAUGGCAGGAGGCCCCACUGUACCCAGCAAGUAUCUGAUUUGUGUCACUAGUUCAGGAAUUGGAUGAAGCAACAUGCUGCAGGCUAUAGAAUUUUGUUUCCACAGUAGGUCUGAAGAGGGCAGUUGAAAAACUUGGAAAUGCAGAGAAGUUAAUGCCUUGUGGGGUAAAUUUUGACCAAUGAAAGAAGUCAUUCAGUGAAGGAAGCCCCUGAAUAAAUUCCUCUUCCUUUCUCCAACAGACUAUUCCAAGACAGGCUGCAUCCAAGCAGUGAGCUGUGUCUCUUUGUGAAGCUGUGGUCAUCUGCGAUAUUGCACUAGUUUGUAUUUGCCCUUCCUUCUUUUCUGCCCAACUUUCUUUUCCCUUUACUUUGGUGUCUCAGAGUUAUACCUCCUAUUUUUUUCUAGGGAACUUAGGCUAAGACAGAAUGAAAGUACAGAGAAGUGAGCCCAAUUUAGCUCUGUAGACAUUUGUCUAUGUGUAAGCAGAACGCAAGAGGCUGAGAUGCUGAGCAGAGUUUCCAACAGUCUUACAGUGUUGGUAAGAAAAAAAUGGACUUAAGGACCAAGGAGGAGAGGCCCAGGCAAACACUCCAGUUCUAGCUUGUAACUCCAGAAGGGACAGACAUUACCUCAAAAAUAAUGAAGCUGGAAUUAAAUCAACUAAAUCUUUGAUGGAAUGAAAAUUAAUCUGUCUCUUAUCCAACUGCCAAACAAAAAUAAAUUCUCUCUGGAAGAUGGUAUUGUCUAGAGUCUUAAAAUAUCUGUAUAAUUUGUCACAUGUAUUGUCUUGUGUGGCUGCAAGUAAACAAUUACUAUGUUUAUCAGGAGAUGAGACCAUAUGACAGAAAAACAAGAGAAAACCAUAUUAUAGAAACAUACUCACUGGAAAUCCAAGUAUUGGAUAAAAUUUCAGCAUAAAACAGGAAAAUAUCAAAAUUAUUCAAAUAUAAAUUCUAUAAAUUUAUAGAAUCUAUAAAUUGAUUGAACUAAAAUCUAUAAAUUGAUUGAAGCAGAUUAGGUAUAAUUAAAAGAGAGCAUUAGUAAAUUGGAACACAGACUGGGAGAAAAUAUCUACUACAAAGCACAGAGAGAAAAGAAAAUGGAAAAUACACACAAAAAAAAGAGGAAACAUACAAGAUCUAUGGGAAUGGUGAAAUAUUUAACAUGUAUGUAAUUGAAAUCUACCAAAAAGAAAAAAGAAUAAACAGAUGAGAAAAUGAAGCAGACAGAAAAUUUAAAAAUCAAAAUGACAGGACUUUACAAAAUGUCAAGCCACAAAUUCAGGAACUUAUAAACACCAUUCAAAUUAAGUACAGAUAAAACAAAUAUGGGUAUAUCAUAGUAAAAGUGUUCAAAAGAACACAGACAAAGGCAAAAUAUUAAUACAAUCCAGAGGAAAAAGAUAUCUGAUCUUCAAAAUAGCAGCAAUUAGACAGAUUUUCAAUUCUCAAAAAAAGAAGGUAGGCCACAAACAUAAAAUGACAUCUUCUAUCAGAGCUAGAGGAAACUAACUAUACUAGAAUUUGAUAACCACAGAAAAUGUCUUUUUAAAGUGAAAGCAAAAUAAAGAUAUUUUCAAAUAAAAAGACAGAGAAUUAUUCACCAAUUUAUACUAAGGAAAUACUAAUGGGAGUUCUUUAGUCAGAAGGUAAAUUAUUCCAGACAGAAAGCAUAAUGAAAUUGGAAGAAAUAAAGAACAACAGAAAAGAUAAAUACAUGGGUAAAUCUAAACGAAUGUGUAAUGUAUAGAAUAAUAAUAAUAUCUGGAAGUGUUUGAGUUCUAUACAGAAGUAAAAUCCAUGACAACAAUAGCACAAAAUGUAGGGAAAGGGUAAAUGGUGUUAAACUGUUCCAUGAGCCUCGUGUGGCUUGUGAAGUAAUUUAUAGUUUUUUAAAAAUAUUUAUUUAUUAAUUUCGAGAGAGAAAGCAUGAGUGAGGGAGGGGUAGAGAGAGAAUCCCAAGCAGGCUUCUCACUGUCUGUCCUAAGCCCUAGGAGGGGCUCGAUCUAAUGAACUGUGAGAUCAUGACCUGAGCCGAAAUCAAGAGUUGAAGCCUUAACCAACUGAGCCAUCCAAGCACCCCCGGGAAGUAAUUUAAAUAUUAAUUUUUGUCAGACUUUAACAAGUCAAGGAUGCAUGUAGCAUUUUCCAGAGUAAAAGCUAAAAGAAUAGUGAAAAUGUAUAAUUAGCAAGCAAUCCAGGUGAAAUAUAUAAUAAAUAAAAGCCUAAUUCAAAUCACUGCAGACAAGAGGGAGGAAAAGAGAGGGAAUGGCAGAGAAACAGCAAGAAAAUCAAACAUUAAAUUUGAACUUCUAAACAUAAGUAAUUGUGUCAAAUGUAAACAGGCUAAUAUUCUAAUUAAAAGACAAUAGUUAUUAGACUUGAUAAUAAAAAAUAUUAUGUUCUGCUUGCAAGAGAUACAUCUUAAAUAUAAGAAUGCACAAAGAUUAAAGUAAAAGGACAGAAUGUGUAAACCAUACAGACACAAAACAAUACAGGGCUGAUACACUAAUAUCAGAUAGUGUAGGUUAUAAACAUUUACUUAGGGAUGAAUAGGAUAUUUCAAAUGAUAAAAAGUUUAAUUCAUCAGGAAAAUAUAAUAUUCUAAACUCAAAUGACUUAACAAGAAACUUUUGAAAUAUAUAAAGCAAAACCAUACAUACAAAACCACAAGAGAAGAAAUAGGCAAUCACGAUGGGAAAAUUUUAACACAAAUCUCUGAAUAACUGAUGGAGCAAGCCAAAAGAGGAAGGGGGAGGAAGAGGAGGAGGGAGAGGUGGAAGAUGAGGAGAAAGAUCAGUAGACCUUCAAUAGAUCUGAACAGCACAAUUAACAACAUUUACCUAAUUCACAUAUAUAUAAAUCAUUGUAAUCAGCAACUGUUGCAUGUGCAUUCUUUCUAGAUACACAUAGAACAUUUGCCAAAAUUGAUUAUAUGAUGAGCCCCAAAUAAAGUGUCAAUAAAUUCCAAAAGAUUGAAAUGCGGUCAUUCUAUGAUGACAGUUCAAUUAAUCAAGAGAUCAAUAAGCAAAAGAUAAUUAGGGUUAAAAAAAAAAAAGCCUCAACAGUUACCUCACUCCAUAGACAAAAAUUAACUCAGAAUGGACUAUAUACCUAAAUAUAAAGGAAAAAAAUAUACAAAUCUCCCAUAAAACACGUAAAUCCUUUGUGACCAUUGGUAGGCAAAAUUCCCUAAAAUGGGACACACACACACAAAAAACCAAAAAGUGCUAGCCAUAUAUAUACGUAUACGUAUAUACAUAUAUGUAUAUGUAUAUGUAUAUGUA